AGCAGCCGCGGUAAUUCCAGCUCCAAUAGCGUAUAUUAAAGUUGUUGCAGUUAAAAAGCUCGUAGUUGAAUUUCGGGAUCAAUUUGCUGGUCGUGCCUCUGGUACGUACUGGUAUUAUUGGUUUCUCCCUUCUGACGAACCAUGAUGUCAUUAAUUUGAUGUCGUGGAGAAUCAGGACUGUUACUUUGAAAAAUUAGAGUGUUUAAAGCAGGCAUUAGCUUGAAUACAUUAGCAUGGAAUAAUGAAAUAGGACGUUUGAUCCUAUUUUGUUGGUUUCUAGGAUUGACGUAAUGAUUAAUAGGGAUAGUUGGGGGCAUUAGUAUUCAAUUGUCAGAGGUGAAAUUCUUGGAUUUAUUGAAGACUAACUACUGCGAAAGCAUUUGCCAAGGAUGUUUUCAUUAAUCAAGAACGAAAGUUAGGGGAUCGAAGACGAUCAGAUGCCGUCGUAGUCUUAACCAUAAACUAUGCCGACUAGGGAUCGGAUGAUGUUAAUUUUUAAUGUACUC
rnacentral:misc_RNA from 1 species